rnacentral:rRNA from 1 species
UACGUAGGGGGCAAGCGUUGUCCGGAUUUAUUGGGCGUAAAGAGCGUGUAGGCGGCCAGAUAGGUCCGUUGUGAAAACUCGAGGCUCAACCUCGAGACGCCGAUGGAAACCAUUUGGCUAGAGUCCGGAAGAGGCAAGUGGAAUUCCCGGUGUAGCGGUGAAAUGCGCAGAUAUCGGGAGGAACACCAAUGGCGAAGGCAGCUUGCUGGGACGGUACUGACGCUGAGACGCGAAAGCGUGGGGAGCAAACAGG